UACAGAGGGUGCGAGCGUUAAUCGGAAUUACUGGGCGUAAAGCGCGCGUAGGUGGAUAGAUGAGUUGGAUGUGAAAUUCAUGGGCUUAACCUGUGGUGGUCAUCCAAGACGGUCUAUUCUUGAGUGCAGUAGAGGGAAGUGGAAUUUCCGGUGUAGCGGUGAAAUGCGUAGAUAUCGGAAGGAACACCAGUGGCGAAGGCGGCUUUCUGGACUGCAACUGACACUGAGGCGCGAAAGCGUGGGGAGCAAA
rnacentral:rRNA from 1 species